UUUCAAAUGUGGGAGCCACUAGGCCUCCUCUUUUCAAGGGCUAAGAGAAAUUUAAAUCUCUCCUGAUUACUGACCCUGAAAACCACACUGCGUUUCUGGCAGAUGAUGUUAAAAAAAAGCGUGGUGGAACUCCCUCUGGUACAAUUGAGUGCAGACCCUUGUCUUAAGGAAAUACCAUUUUGUCAGGGGUGAGAGAGAAAUAAGAGGCUGGAAGAAAUAUGGAUCUCUGUUUCUACUUAGAAAUCAUGGCAACAAGUAGAACAUUUUCUGUCCACACCUAGAGGGAGAAGCGACAGGAGGAAAUACCUCCAAGCUUGUGGGAUGUGCCUGGUGAGGAUAUUCCGUUCAAUGACACAUUUGUGGUCUUUACAUGUUGACCAGCCAACAAGAACUUGCUGAGUACAGGACGGACAAGGUUGGCAUUCUGCUGGCUCUACAGGAGAUCAACGGGAAGGAUGGAGAGAACAGCUUGUGUGCCAGGUGGGGAGACGGACAUGGACCAAUACUGAACAACACACAACACUAUGGUUUAGAAAGAGAAUUCAAGGUAUGUGGACUGGACUAAGCCAUGACUAAGCUCACAAAAGACUUCCUGGAAGAAGAUGCACAGCCUAUAGUCAGGCACAACCUUCCUGUCUGUACCGUGAGUUCUUGGGUCAAGACACAACUCACCUCUACCUAUCUGUACGCUGAUGGCAAAGUCCUUUUAAUAUCAAACAGAAAUGAAUGACAAUGAUGGUGACCACAUUUCCCAAACCCACGACCAGUCAGGUUUCUGUGGGGCCUCUCCAUUUGAGAGGCUCUCUGAAAGCCAGUGUGGAUACGAUGGUUCCAUGUGUAUGUAAAUAACAAGACAUAUGGAACAUGUUAAAUUGGAAGACUGUUCCAUAUCCAGAAUUACUAAUGUACUAAUAAUCCUUUGAAUCCUCAAAAAAAACACUAUACUUUUAUGCUAAAGUAGAUCGAAUGGGUGACUAGACAUAAAGCUGAAGAAAUUUCAGAUUUAAAAUCUGACUGGCCCUUUCACCAGCAGACUUAGGAAAGUGCUAACUGCAAAGCUGGCCAGUAUUCAGCUCGACAGUCCUAAAAACAAACGGAGCCCUUUGGAGCUGGAAAGUGGUAUCACAAAAGCUGCCAAAUGUGGUGCUUCUAGAGCGGCCCACCAGAAAAAUAUGACAGUUUACAUCUUUACAUAGCCUAAUGUACAGUGGGAAUAUAAAUGUCUCGUUCAGGCCCCAAUCACUGCCUGGAAUGGGAUGCUUUCCUUAACAAGAAGCAGAUGAGAGGCCCAGAAGCCAAACCUCUUAUUCUGUUGGUCUGAAGGCUGUAGUUUUCAGUCGGUCAGCACAGAGAGUGGCAAUUCAGGGAGGGAAGGCAUUGCAUGCGUUUCCUUGGUCAGGACAAAGGCUUGUAGCUCUUUUCCUGGGCCCUCGGAGGCUCUCGUACAUUGAGUGUCCCGCAUGUGGUCAGCGGCUUUACCCACCUUUCCUUGGGCCACCAGCUCCCUCUGGGCUGCCGAGGCCGAUUUGACCAGGGCGCUUGUGGCAGCAGCAAUGGAUUUAGCAGCUUCCAAGAUCUGUUCCUCAAAGUCCAGGGUCUCAUCCGCUUGCUAUAACCAAAACAAAACAGCAUCACAUGCAAUUCAUAUCCACAAAGGGCUCUUUCUUCCAAACUACUUACUGCCGGGUCACCUGGCUCUUCACCUGCCUAUUGUUUUUUGUUGACAAACCACACCUGAAAUGGGAUGGUUCCUUAACAAGAAGCAGAUAAGAGGUCCCCUGUGCAAACUUUCAGGACUGUAAGUCAAUUUGGUUAAGCCACCCUCAGGUCACACAGUGUUGAAGAUGUGGCUGGUACCUUUCAGGCAUUAAGAGACAAUGGCCAGGCACAGCAAUAGUUUUCUUUGUAUGUGUGGUACAAUAUAUGUAACACAAAAUUUACCCUUUUACCUAAUGUUAAGUAUUAAUACGCUGACACUGUUGUACAACAGCAAUACCAGGAUAGAAAGGUCAGGAUGCCUCUCCACCUGCAGCCCCUUCCCCCUAACUCCAAAAGGAAAAAGCUGUUAGCUUGACAUCCCACGGAAAUUUGCAGACAGACUCAUUUUCUGGAACAAAAUCUUUAAAGAUAUACAUUCACUGUGAAUAAAAUACACUCAAAUGGUUUUAGCAACAUCAAUAACCGAAACCAAAAUAAUAAAAUCAAAACAGUAGAUCAUAGCACUUACUCUCUUCCAGACUCUAAGCCUCAAAAAUGGACUUUAAAAAAAAAAAGGAAAGAUGGCUACCAGUUCUGAAAAGUCGUCUUUUUCCUGGGUAAAAAUCAAAGCCAAACAGCACUGGCAUUUCUGUGGCUGAGCACUGAGAGAGUUAUAGACCAAGUACACAUUGCCCAGUGGUGAAAAAGAAACCAGGGCAACACGACAUUAAGGUGGAGCUUGUUCUGUCCCCCGGACACCCGAGGCAUGGGCUCCACCUUGGGAAGAACAUUGGACACCACUGUGUAGGUGUUAUCAGACCUUUAGGGUUCUGGUCUAAAUUCACCACCAUCUCCUUUGCUGCUAAAACAACUCAGGAAGUUGAAGAGAAGCUUUGGAGAAGUGUGACAAGUAUAAAGACUGUGGUCCCAGGCUCAUGGGUUGGAGCAUCGCAGUUUUGCCGGGUGUGGUCAGAUUAGACCUGUGUGAUAACAGUCCAUGACUCUAGGUCAAUUUGGUUAAGCUGCCCUCAGGUCACACAGUGUUGAAGAUGUGAGUGGUACCUUUCAGGCAUUGAGAGAUGAUGGCCAGGCCCAGUAAUACUUUUCUUUGUAUGUGUGGUAAAAUAUACGUAAGACAAAACUUACCCUUUUAUCCAAUUUUAAGUGUACAAUUCAGUGGCAUUACGGACAUUCACACUUUGUGCCAACAGUAAUACAUUUCUAAGAGUGCCUACUGUGUACCAACUAUUUUGUUAGGCACCUCUACAUACAUUGACUUAAUUCUCACAAAAAAAAAAAAAAGAAAGAUCGUAUAUUGGAAUUAUCUUUAUCCUUAUUUUUACAGUGAGAAAACCCAGGCUCAGGAAGGUAGAUUAUUGGGCCAAGGUGAUGUGGCAGCAUGAAGCAUCUAAACCAGAAUCUAAACCUAAAUCUGACUCCAAAAUGAGGCACUUUAACUAGCCAAAGCCACCCCUUAGGGCAUCAAUGAGAAAUGGUUUGUGCCAGAGGUUCAAAGUCAGCUUGCUAACGCUCCCAUGUGAAACAUCAGACAGGAGGGAUACAAUUCUUCUCCACCUCUCCAUUCUUAAUGCCACAUCUUGAAACAUGAAAGGUGCUAAUCCUUUUUCUUUAUAACCUACAUUAUCAAAAUACAAUUUCAAUGCACUUCCAAUGGAUCUGAAAGUUCUGAGACAACAGACUUGUGCGUUCUUUUUUAUUGCUGACCAAGUCUUGCUCUAAGAGUAUUCAGGACAGAAAUGAAUUUAGUUCUACUGGACUCAUUUUGGAUUGGUGGAGUAUAGAAUUUGGUGCUGAAAUACAGAAAUGAUCCAUUGUAAGACACUCUUGCAUAAAAGGAACUCUUGUGUAGUCAGUCCCCAAAUAAAUUACAGUAGGCUCUAAUUUAUAUAUAUUAAAUAUAUAAAUAAUGUAUAUUUUAAUAACCUUGAGAUUAAGAGCUUUUCUGGCAAUUCAUUCUGCCAAAGAAUGUCAGGCACAUAACAGAUUAAAGCACUAGGGAAAUCACAGAAUUUUUGACUCCAAACUCCUCAUCUCAUUUUGCAAACGAGGAAACAGAGGCUUGUGGGAGCUCUUCAUGGCAGCUCCUGAAGUCUCUCACGCUCUUGCCUCAGGUGGCCUCAGCUACACUAUGGGUUCCACGCCCGAGUCCACUUUACACUGUGGAAUACUCUGUCAGAUUUUUUAUUUCCCAAAUUUUAAGAUUUUCAAAAACGGAAUUUCCUUAAAAUUAAGUGCUAAGUCUUUAGCAGGGGUAAAUCUGAUAGGAUCAUCUCAUCACAACUGAUUUUAAGAGCCUCUCCCACAUCUUCCGCUGCCUGGGAGUUUUUUUUUUUUUUUUUUAAACACAAGCUUGUAAUAGAUAUUCGACUUGGAAAUAUUUUUGACACCCACAGAUUUUUCUGGUAAUGGCAACUGUUGUAAUGCUCUUUGAUGAAUUUUUAUUUUUCUUUCCAUAACAUCUCUGUGCUUUAAAACAGACAUGGCAGAAGGCCUUAUCUCUGGGAGACAUUUGCUCUGAUAAGAAAGUAUUAGAGAUUCUCCCUAGAAAGGCUGACUGGGAUGGCACAGGGAUGGAGGGCUAAUGUUAGAUGCUACAGUUUGGGCAGAGUACCCUGAUGAAACCUGCCUUCUGACUGCUGCAUCCCUAUUUUCCUGUAUGCCAGGUUUAUGACUCAGAUGCACUGCCCACCCUAUCUCUACUGCUGAAAUCAGACACCAAUACUUAAUGUGUCCUCACACCAUACAACUUCUAGCCUUAGAGAAAAUGGGAUCUCUCCAAGCCAAGGAGAAUGGUCAAAAACCCAGGUGGCCCAUCAGUUCCAGCUCCCACCAGCAUGCAGAAUGGAAUAGGGGAGAAGGUAGGAAGGACACACACUUAACCAUAUCACAAGAAGGAGAGAAACGGAAUUGGCUUGGUCUUCAAAGGACUUUCCUAAAUAAAAGAAUCACAAUUCAAAUGCAGAAUUUGUUAAUGGAACAGUCCCCACUGCAGCUGAGAGACUGGGGAGACUAAGAAGAACAACGUGGUGCACAGUGACUCUGGGGAAGAAUCUGGAGGCUGGGCCCCUCUCACAGAGCUCAUUCGCACCUCUUCACCAGGGAGGCUCAAUUGGUUGGUGUCUUAAGGUCCUCUUUAGCUAAGAUGUUACUGACCUGACCAGGGUCAGUCAGAUCUGUCCUUCUGGUUUAUAAAGGGGAUAAUGGAAUCCUCGCUUCUGGGUUUUUCAUUCGUUCCGCAAUUGGAUCAUGUAAAGACCCACUAAAAUAAUCUUUUAAAGAUUAUGACUAAUCCUGUGCAUGUGGCUAUUUAUAUUUCUUUAUAACUACUGGCAUCAAGCUAAAGCAAGGAACUUAAGAGUUUCAUUAAACAGGAUAAAUUGAUUGAUUGAUAGUCUUUAGCCAUAAAAAAGAAUGAGAUCCUGCUGUUUGCAACCACAUGGCUAGAACUGGAGAUCUUUAAGUGAAAUAAGCCAGGCACAGAAAGACAAACAUUGUAUGUUCCCACUUAUUUGUGGGAUCCAAAAAUCAAAACAAUUGAACUCGUGGACAUAGUGAGUAGAAGGAUGGCUCCCAGAGGCUGGGAAGGGUAGUGAGGGGCUGGGAGGUAGGGGGAGGUGGGGUUGGUUCAUGGGUACAAAAAAAUAGUUAGAAUAAGACCCACUACAUGUGAUAGCACAACAUGGUGACUAUGGUCAAUAACUUAAUUGUACAUUUUCAAAUAAUUAGAAUAGUGUAAUUGGAUUGUUUGUAACACAAAGGAUAAAUGCUUGAGAGGAUGGAUACCCCAUACUCCAUGAUGUGCUUAUUUCACAUUGCAUGCCUGAUAUUGUUUGGCUGUGUCCCCACCCAAAUCUCAUCUUGAAUUGUAGCUCCCAUAAUCCCCACAUGUCAUGGGAGGGACCUGGUGGGACGUAACUGAAUAAUGGGGGCAGGUCUUUCCUGUGCUGUUCUCAUGAUAGUGAAUGAGUCUCAUGAGAUCUGUUGGUUUUAUAAAGGGGAGUUCCCCUACACAAGCCCGCUUGCCUGCCACCAUAUAAGAUGUAUCUUGCUUCCCCUUCACUUCCCGCCAUGAUUGUGAGGACUCCCCAGCCAUGUGGAACUGUGAGUCAAUUAAACCUUUUCUUUAUGUAUCACCCAGUCCUGGGUAUGUCUAUAUUAGUUGCAUGAGAACAAGCUAAUACAAUGCCUGUAACAACACAUCUCAUGUAUCCCAUAAAUAUAUAUACCUACUAUGUACCCUCAAAAACCAAACAGAAAAAAAAUUUUAAAGAAAAAAAAAUAAAUAAAUGGAUAGCCCUCGCUGCAGAAUCACCUGAGGAUCUGGUUAAAGAUUCAGAUGCUGUUUUGGUAGGUCUGGGGUGGGAGCCAGGAAUCUGUAUUUCUUACAGAGGUGGUUACACACUACUCUGUAGGAAAUGCUGGCCUGGACUCAGGAAAACAAACACCACUUAACUUAAUCCUACCAGCCUGUGAUCCCCUCCAGGGUGAGACUGUGUUUUAUUCAACCUAUGUUUCUCUAGCACAAAAUCAGGCAGAGAAGCCCAUGUGAUGCUCAACAUUUGCUGAAUUAAUAUAUCCAUUCAAAAUGCGUUUCCCAAGUUCCAGAGUUCAGCCAGAGCACAACGCACAAGGUAGGAGAAGGAGAAAUACACAGAGUAAGCAUCCAUAUCAUUAGCAUCCACUCCUGAGCCCUGGUGGACAGAUGCACACACAGCUAUGAGCAGGUUCCUGCCCUGUUUAAGGCCGUGGGUUGUUAACUGUACACUCUACUUGCAUCCCUCAACUGGAAUUCACAGUUUGUGACAUUUAGUCGUGCAUGGACAUACAAAUGUAAACACAGUGGCAUUUUACCAAGAGGCACUCUUACGUAACAAGACAGCACUGGGAAAAAGAGUGAACAGAUGUACAAACUAAGCUUCUACUCUGCCUAAUGAAGGUGUUUGCUGCUGCCUCUGCAUGCUGAAUUAUCUUCUCCUUUGAUAUACUGUUCUCUUCCCCCUUCCCCUCACUUUGAAAAGGCUAUUUAGCCAGGUGCCCACUAGCUCUAAGCAAUCGUGUUUCCUGGGCUGUCUGGCCAACUCUUGCUGAGGGUAGAUUUAUCCCCAGCUGGUCUUUUUGGUAGCUUCUAGAAAGGUCUGAGUACCCUGUAGUUGACCUCUUCCCUGCAUGCUGACCUUCCUUGCUCACCCUUUAAAAAGUCAGUGGCCUGGUGAGAUCCCUCUUGGGAAAGGCUACAUAUUGGGUUGGCUCCCUUCCCCUGUUUCCCACUUGGGAGAGUAUUUGAGACCCCUAUGUAUUGCUCUGAUGGGUUUAAAGUUUCAGGAGCUAUAUGUCCCCUGGAAGAGGAAAUGGUGGUGGCAGGGGAAGUGGUGUGGAAAGUGGAGAAGGUAAAAGGGACAGCCUUUCCUCAUGUUUCUUUUGGUGUUUGGCCUUUCAUGGAUUCUGAGAACAUGGUCUUCACACUAAUUCACUCAUCUUCUAAGCCUACUUCCCUUCCUAACCUAUCUGAUGGGGUCAUUACAAGUACGUGAUUAGUAUAUGUAAAGCACGGCUGACUCACAGGAGAUGCUCAAAAACUAUUAGCAAUUUCAUUAUCAAAAAUUGUUUGUUUUUUCAAGUUUGGGGCUAAAUUAAUCUGUUUCUCUGUCUAAACCCUGUUAUGUAUCCAUAAUUCCAAUAAAAAUUCUUCUUGCUA
rnacentral:antisense_RNA from 1 species